rnacentral:rRNA from 1 species
GACGAACGCUGGCGGCGUGCCUAAUACAUGCAAGUCGAGCGGACAGAUGGGAGCUUGCUCCCUGAUGUUAGCGGCGGACGGGUGAGUAACACGUGGGUAACCUGCCUGUAAGACUGGGAUAACUCCGGGAAACCGGGCUAAUACCGGAUGCUUGUUGAACCGCAUGGUUCAAACAUAAAAGGUGGCUUCGGCUACCACUUACAGAUGGACCCGCGGCGCAUUAGCUAGUUGGUGAGGUAAUGGCUCACCAAGGCGACGAUGCGUAGCCGACCUGAGAGGUGAUCGGCCACACUGGGGACUGAGUACACGGCCAGACUCCUACGGGAGCAGCAGUAGGAAUCUUCGCAAUGGACGAAAGUCUAGACGAGCAACGCCGCGUGAGUGAUGAAGGUUUCGGAUCGUAAAGCUCUGUUGUUAGGGAAGAACAAGUACCGUUCGAAUAGGCGGUACCUUGACGUACCUAACCAGAAAGCCACGGCUAACUACGUGCCAGCAGCCGC